rnacentral:lncRNA from 1 species
ACAGAAAUACAAGUAUGGGAGUAGGGGAGGAAGAGAUAGAAAAGCAAAAUAAAAAAAGAACAGGACACAGAGGAGAAUGUCGACAGGACCGCGUACAGUUGAUAUGGGGACUGAAUCGAGGAUGCAACUAGUGAAACUGUGGGAAGGGUCUGGUGCCAAAGGCCACCCACCAAAGGAAAAGAAACUCCCAAGAUUCAUGACAUAUCUCCAUCUCUAUCUGCACUCUAUCUGCAACUAUCUAUGUGCCUACUAGACUCUACCUGCAUCUGACAGCUUAAUUUUCUGAGUACCAUUUUGGCAGCAAACUGAAAUUCCUCCCUUCCCAUGUUCUGGGAAGAGCAACUACCCCCACACGGCACGAGGGGGAAAGCUGGAGGGGGGCACUGGGAAGGGCUCAGUAGCCAUCCUGCUGCACAGUGAAGACUGCUCUUCAGCUAGGGCCCGUGUCAGACCCCAUGAGCUCACACUUAGCAUUCAGUGUUGUUCUUCUGCUCAGGACAGGACCUUCUGGUGGCUGUGUCUGCAGGACGGCCCCAAUUUCCACCACUGUGGCAGUGCCUAGUACCUCUGGUGCUGCUGGUCUUAGUACGGCCCAUGCUGAGGAUCCCUAAGCAUGCUGCAGAACCAGUCCUGAAGAUCUCCAGAGUCUCCUCUCUCCAUCCCCGCUGGCCAGACCACAGCCAAGGAUGUGAAGACACCCCACCAAAGCAGCAGGCAGCGGUAGGGUUGGUUCAGAUACCUGCACUGAGGGACAUGAGAGGAUCUGUGACCACAUAGCAAGGGAGGUCAGUCCAAGAUUAGCUGGGCACUGGGGCUCAAGCUGGGUUGGGAGGACAUCUUUACAAGGGUAGGCAGCAGCCUGGCAGGAGCGACGAAAUGCAUUUUCUCAGCUAGGCUCUGGGGCCAAAGAUUCAAACCCAAUGGUGGGAGUUAUCUGAAUGUAAGGAUGUAAGGAAGGCUUUUUCUUCCUGUAAAACAUUGCCCAACUGGUGAGGUACUUUAUGGAUAGUGUUGGAACGGAUGGGAAGGAUGGUCUUGUAAUUGUGGGAUUCAGUGGCAAAUCAGGAAAUCUGGGUUUAAUAACCAACUGUGACACAGAUUUCCUGUGUGACCUUCUCCAGAUCACUUACUCACCCUAUGACUCAAGUCCCAGUUUGUAAUAUGGGGCAGCAACCCUUCUUUUCUCACACUGUCCUGUCUAUUUACACAGCUCAUCUAUGGGGCAGGUGUUUCCUUCAGCUACACGUAACAUGUUGCUCCAAAGAGAUCAUUUUUAGUUUGGUUCCCUUCU